AACCUCCGCAAUGUGAGAAAUCGCGACGGGGGGAUCCCAAGUGCCAUUCUUAACGGGAUGGCUUUUCAUUAGUGUAAAGAGCUUUUGGAAUAAGAGCUGGGCAAGACCGGUGCCAGCCGCCGCGGUAACACCGGCAGCUCUAGUGGUAACAAUUUUUAUUGGGCCUAAAGCGUCCGUAGCCGGUUUAAUAAGUCUCUGGUGAAAUCCUGUAGCUUAACUGUGGGAAUUGCUGGAGAUACUAUUAGACUUGAGACCGGGAGAGGUUAGAGGUACUCCCAGGGUAGAGGUGAAAUUCUGUAAUCCUGGAAGGACCGCCUGUUGCGAAGGCGUCUAGCUGGAACGGUUCUGACGGUGAGGGACGAAAGUUAGGGGCGCGAACCGGAUUAGAUACCCGGGUAGUCCUAACUGUAAACGAUGCGGACUUGGUGUUGGGGUGGCUUUGAGCUGCUCCAGUGCCGAAGGGAAGCUGUAAGUCCGCCGCCUGGGAAGUACGGUCGCAAGACUGAAACUUAAAGGAAUU
rnacentral:rRNA from 1 species